UCUCCGUUGGUGAACCAGCGGAGGGAUCAUUACUGGAAUCGCAAGAUCCCACAACCCCUGUGAACCUACCGAGACGUUGCCUCGGCGGGCGCCCGGCCCCGCGCCGGGCGCUGAGCCCGCCGGCGGCCCCCUACUCUUGUCUCUGCAGCGUGGCAUCUCAGAGCCCCAGAAAACAAGUAAAAACUUUCAACAACGGAUCUCUUGGCUCUA
rnacentral:misc_RNA from 1 species